rnacentral:rRNA from 1 species
AUUGAACGCUGGCGGAAUGCUUUACACAUGCAAGUCGAACGGCAGCACGGGUGCUUGCACCUGGUGGCGAGUGGCGAACGGGUGAGUAAUAUAUCGGGAACGUACCUUAUCGUGGGGGAUAACGCAGCGAAAGCUGCGCUAAUACCGCAUACGCCCUGAGGGGGAAAGGCGGGGGACCGGUAAGGCCUCGCGCGAUUAGAGCGGCCGAUGUCAGAUUAGCUAGUUGGUGGGGUAAAGGGCCCACCCAAGGCGACGAUCUGUAGCUGGUCUGAGAGGACGACCAGCCACACUGGGACUGAGACACGGCCCAGACUCCUACGGGAGGCAGCAGUGGGGAAUUUUGGACAAUGGACGCAAGUCUGAUCCAGCCAUGCCGCGUGCGGGAAGAAGGCCUUCGGGUUGUAACCGCUUUGUCAGGGAAG